rnacentral:lncRNA from 1 species
GUGGCUCAAGUUGGGAGGCGUUACCUGCGGAGGGUUUGAGGCACGCCCAGGAGCGAGCCCACGGUCGGCCGACGCGGGGCCAGGGGCGGGCCCCAGGAUCCGGAGCUUCGGGCGGGGCCGAGUCUGGGUUUGGGGCCCGGGAGGCGGGGCCAGUUAGGGCGAGGGUCCCUGGGAUCGUCGGGUCAGGCCUUGGGCUAACGUAGACACUCUCGCAGUACCUCCGCCUUCAGGAAGGUCUUUUUAGCAGGGGCCUUACAGGUGCACGCUUCGGUCCUGGAGGCCUUAUCCUAACCUCUCCAUCAGCGCCACCCGUCUGGGGCCCGAAAGGAGGGAGCUUUCCCUCUGUCCUCCAGCCUUUGGACUGUCUCCAAACAAGCCAUUCGUUCACCAAAUACUUAUUAAGCACCUACCAUGUGCCUGACAAGGGAGAUGUAACGUCCCUCUAUCCUGAGAUGGAGUCACCUGAGGAUCCACAGCAAGUCCUAACCAGGGAUGGGUCUGGGUGAUUAAGGAAGGUUGGCUUCAGAACUGGGCCAGGGGCACUGCUUUGCUUUUGCUGUUUUGAUCAGCUCUCUGCCUGCAGGAGACAAGGAAAACCAAUGGGAACAGCCCAGUAAAGGCUCCAUUCCCCAUUUUACAGCUGGGGAAACUGAGUUACAGAGCUUUUCUGCACUGAGUCAUCAGGAGCAAAUGCUAGAUCAGAUAGGGUCUCUCUCUCUGCCACCCAGGCCAGAGUGCAGUUGACGCAGGGCAGGGGAGCCCCGAAGUGGAGCAUAGUGUGUCCGGAACUGGUGGGUUCUUGGUCUCACUGACUUCAAGAAUGAAGCCGUGGACCCUCACGGUUCAAGCGAUUCUCCUGCCUCAGCCUCC